rnacentral:tRNA from 1 species
CUAAGGAAUAUUACGGAGACUACACAAUUUGUUUUUACUUUGUUCAGUUUUGAGAGGUUUACUCUCAAUUUAAAACGGGGCCUUAGCUCAGCUGGGAGAGCGCCUGCUUUGCACGCAGGAGGUCAGCGGUUCGAUCCCGCUAGGCUCCAUUAACAAMAUUAGUUGUUAAAUUUGUUCAUUGAAAACUGGAUAUUUGAAGUAAAUGUAAGUAAUACAAACCGAGAACACCGCGUUGAAUGAGUUUUUUAAUAAGUUCAAUUGCUUAUUUUCUUGAUCUAACUUCUAUCGCUAGAAGAAGGAUCAAAACCCAACCGYAAGGUUGAUAA